rnacentral:rRNA from 1 species
CCCUUAGAUGUCCUGGGCCGCACGCGCGUUACACUGAUGCAUUCAACGAGCUUAUAACCUUGGCCGAGAGGCCUGGGCAAUCUUGUUAACGUGCAUCGUGAUAGGGAUAGAUUAUUGAAAUUAUUAAUCUUGAACGAGGAAUUCCUAGUAAACGCAGAUCAUCAAUCUGCAUUGAUUACGUCCCUGCCCUUUGUACACACCGCCCGUCGCUCCUACCGAUUGAAUGAUCCGAUGAAUAUCAUGGAUUGAGGAUUAUAGCAGGUUCGCCUGUCUUGAUCUUCGAGAAGUGAAGUAAAUCUUAUCAUUUAGAGGAAGGAGAAGUCGUAACA